rnacentral:rRNA from 1 species
UAGUUGGCAGGGUAACGGCCUACCAAGACAACGAUCAGUAGCCGGCUUGAGAGAGUGGACGGCCACAUUGGGACUGAGACACGGCCCAGACUCCUGCGGGAGGCAGCAGUGGGGAAUAUUGCACAAUGGGGGGAACCCUGAUGCAGCAAUGCCGCGUGGGUGAAGAAGCACUCCGGUGCGUAAAGCCCUGUCAGCAGGGAAGAAAAUGACAGUACCUGGACAAGAAGCCCCGGCUAACUACGUGCCAGCAGCCGCGGUAAUACGUAGGGGGCAAGCGUUAUCCGGAUUUACUGGGUGUAAAGGGAGCGCAUGCGGCGUGGCAAGUCAUAUGUGAAAACCCGGGGCCCA